AUAGGGAAGAAGGAAUCGAACCAACAUCAAAAAAUCCAAAACUUUUUGUAUUUCAAUUAUACUAUCCCCUA
rnacentral:tRNA from 1 species